UGCGUAGGCGGCGCGGUAAGUCGGGUGUGAAAUCUCGGAGCUUGACUCCGAAACUGCAUUCGAUACUGCCGUGCUUGAGUAUUGGAGAGGCAGGCAGAAUUCCUGGUGUAGCGGUGAAAUGCGUAGAUAUCAGGAGGAAUACCGGAGGCGAAGGCGGCCUGCUGGACAAAUACUGACGCUGAGGAGCGAAAGCGUGGGGAGCGAACA
rnacentral:rRNA from 1 species